CCUACGGGGGGCAGCAGUGGGGAAUAUUGGACAAUGGGGGCAACCCUGAUCCAGCCAUGCCGCGUGUGUGAAGAAGGCCCUCGGGUUGUAAAGCACUUUCAGUGAGGAAGAACGCCUGGUGGUUAAUACCCAUCAGGAAAGACAUCACUCACAGAAGAAGCACCGGCUAACUCCGUGCCAGCAGCCGCGGUAAUACGGAGGGUGCGAGCGUUAAUCGGAAUUACUGGGCGUAAAGCGCGCGUAGGUGGCUUGAUAAGCCGGUUGUGAAAGCCCCGGGCUCAACCUGGGAACGGCAUCCGGAACUGUCAAGCUAGAGUGCAGGAGAGGAAGGUAGAAUUCCCGGUGUAGCGGUGAAAGGCGUAGAGAUCGGGAGGAAUACCAGUGGCGAAGGCGGCCUUCUGGACUGACACUGACACUGAGGUGCGAAAGCGUGGGUAGCAAACAGGAUUAGAUACCCCGGUAGUC
rnacentral:rRNA from 1 species